rfam:Pan troglodytes isolate Yerkes chimp pedigree #C0471 (Clint) chromosome 20, whole genome shotgun sequence.
GCUGGGCAUGGUGGCGCAUGCCUGUAAUCUCAGCUACGCAGGAGGCUGAGGCAGGAGAAUUGCUUGAACCCGGGAGGCGGAGGUUGCAGUGAGCCAAGAUCGCACCACUGCACUCCAGCCUGGGUGACAGAGUGAGACUCUGUCUCAA